UACGUAGGGGGCAAGCGUUGUCCGGAUUUAUUGGGCGUAAAGAGCGUGUAGGCGGCCUGAAAGGUCAGCUGUGAAAACUCGAGGCUCAACCUCGAGACGUCGGUUGAAACCAUCUGGCUAGAGUCCGGAAGAGGAGUGUGGAAUUCCCGGUGUAGCGGUGAAAUGCGCAGAUAUCGGGAAGAACACCGGUGGCGAAGGCGGUCUGCUGGGCCAAGACUGACGCUGAGGCGCGACAGCGUGGGGAGCAAACAGG
rnacentral:rRNA from 1 species